AACAGGAUUAGAUACCCUGGUAGUCCACGCCCUAAACGAUGUCUACUAGUUGUUGGGUCUUAAUUGACUUAGUAACGCAGCUAACGCGUGAAGUAGACCGCCUGGGGAGUACGGUCGCAAGAUUAAAACUCAAAGGAAUUGACGGGGACCCGCACAAGCGGUGGAUGAUGUGGAUUAAUUCGAUGCAACGCGAAAAACCUUACCUACCCUUGACAUGUCAGGAAUCCUCGAGAGAUCGGGGAGUGCCCGAAAGGGAACCUGAACACAGGUGCUGCAUGGCUGUCGUCAGCUCGUGUCGUGAGAUGUUGGGUUAAGUCCCGCAACAAGCGCAACCCUUGUCAUUAGUUGCUACGAAAGAGCACUCUAAUGAGACUGCCGGUGACAAACCGGAGGAAGGUGGGGAUGACGUCAAGUCCUCAUGGCCCUUAUGGGUAGGGCUUCACACGUCAUACAAUGGUACAUACAGAGGGCCGCCAACCCGCGAGGGGGAGCUAAUCCCAGAAAGUGUAUCGUAGUCCGGAUUGUAGUCUGCAACUCGACUGCAUGAAGUUGGAAUCGCUAGUAAUCGCGGAUCAGCAUGUCGCGGUGAAUACGUUCCCGGGUCUUGUACACACCGCCCGUCACACCAUGGGAGCGGGUUUUACCAGAAGUAGGUAGCUUAACCGCAAGGAGGGCGCUUACCACGGUAGGAUUCGUGACUGGGGUGAAGUCGUAACAAGGUAACC
rnacentral:rRNA from 1 species